rnacentral:rRNA from 1 species
AUUGAACGCUGGCGGCAGGCCUAACACAUGCAAGUCGAACGGGUGGGGGACGGGAUGGAACUGACUGGGCCACUGCCCGGUGGAUGGGGAUAAAUACGGGAAACUGUAGCUACUACCGCACACAAUCGGAUGUGCCCGAAUGGGAUGAGCUAGUAGGUGUGGUAAAGGCUCACCUAGGCGACGAUCCCUAGCUGGGCUGAGAGGAUGACCAGCCACACUGGAACUGAGACACGGUCCAGACUCCUACGGGAGGCAGCAGUGGGGAAUAUUGCACAAUGGGCGAAAGCCUGAUGCAGCCAUGCCGCGUGUAUGAAGAAGGCCUUCGGGUUGUAAAGUACUUUCAGCGGGGAGGCGUUACCCGCAGAAGAAGCACCGGCUAACUCCGUGCCAGCAGCCGCGGUAAUUC